AGGUUGUGUUUAAGGAACCCCGUGAGAUUCGGGGGCUGUGCCGCAACCGUUAAAGCCGGAAAACUAACAACCU
rnacentral:ncRNA from 2 species